UCACUGUGGUGUGGUAUUAGCUUCGGAUAUUUCAACAGAAAUCAUGUAUUUUCCAAAUUUUGCUUUGUUAUUUCACUGACUCGGACCUAGUGAAUGUGGAUAGCACCGAUCUAAUAUUAAGAGAAAACACGAGCAGAUUACCAGGUCGUCAGCUCCCGCGAACAAUUUAGCAGUGAAGAGGACAACGCAGAGGUGCGCAGCCACGACAUGGACAGAGCAAGAUACUACUGCCAGAAAAGAUCUUACUUCUUGGUGAGCUUCCAGGGAUACUAUCAUCUCUCAAAGAGGCCCUGGAGUCCAUGAAACGAGGUUCAUUCAGCUCAAGCCCAAGAUCAUCUGAGCUGUGUCUUCCUGAAACCUCAGACAUGAUUUCCCUCGGUGGUUCUGAUGUCCCCAAAAGAGUCUAUGGCAGACUGAACAAGUCACGAACUUCUCUUUUUACUCACGACUUGGCCACUUUACUUUUUGCUAUUGUAUUUCACUUUGUUUGACUUAAAGGAUUAGUUCACUUAAAAAAAACAAACUUUUGCUGAUAACUUACCCACC